AUCAGCUGUGGGCAAAUGAAGUGAAUAUGGGCAUCAAUUCCACCGGCCGUCAGGAUCUGGCCUUCCCCAGCAAUAAUUUCCGUACCCGGUCCAAUCACAAUGUCUACAUCAGGUUGGGUGUCAGGGUUACCCGCUUUUCCAAUUCGCAAAAUCCGGCCUUCCUUAAGGCCAACAUCUGCUUUAACAACCCCCCAGUGAUCCAGGAUCAAGGCGUUAGUGAUAACGGUAUCCGCUGAAACUGCUCCCAGUGACUGCCCCUGCCCCAUGCCAUCCCG
rnacentral:sRNA from 1 species